GACUGGGAACCCCUGGCAUAGUGGUUUGAGUGAUGGACUAUGAAUCUGGAGACCAGGGUUUUAAUCCCUGCUCAGCCA